rnacentral:rRNA from 1 species
AUUGAACGCUGGCGGCCGGCUUAACCCAUGCACGUCGAACGAGUGGCGGACGGGUGAGUAAUGUUUGGGAAACUGCCUGAUGGAGGGGGAUAACUACCGGAAAAGGUAGCUAAUACCGCAUACCAUCAGAUGUGCUCAGAUGGGAUUAGCUUGUUGGUGUGGUAACGGCUCAACAAGGCGACAAUCCCUCGCUGGUCUGAGAGGAUGACCAGCCACACUGGAACGUAGACACGGUCCAGACUCCGACGGGAGGCAGCAGUGUGGAAAAUUGCGCAAUGGGCGCAAGCCUGAUGCAGCCAUGCGGCGUGUAUGAAGAAGGCCUUCGGGUUGUAAAGUACUUUCAGCGGUGAGGCGUUACCAGCAGAAGAAGCACCGGCUAACUCCGUGCCAGCAGCCGCGGUAAUAC